CACGUAGGAGACUAGCGUUAUCCGGAUUUACUGGGCGUAAAGCGCGUGCAGGCGGUUCAGCAAGUUGGAUGUGAAAGCUCCCGGCUUAACUGGGAGAGGUCGUUCAAUACUACUGGACUAGAGAGUGGUAGAGGGAGGUGGAAUUCCGGGUGUAGUGGUGAAAUGCGUAGAUAUCCGGAGGAACACCAGUGGCGAAAGCGGCCUCCUGGACCAUUUCUGACGCUCAGACGCGAAAGCUAGGGUAGCGAACGGGAUUAGAUACCCCCGUAGUCC
rnacentral:rRNA from 1 species